rnacentral:lncRNA from 1 species
UUGAUUCACAAGGCUGCGGAAGAGAAGAGAGCAAUGGUCGAGGCCAGGCGUGGUGAAGAGAUCCUCAAGGCGGAGGAGGUUGCUGCGAAAUAUCGUGCCACAGGGCUUGCUCCAAAGAAGCUCUUAGGAUGCUUUGGGGUCUAAAUUUGAUUCUGAGUGACCGAAGUCAAACUACGCCCAGCUCUAAUCUGUUUGGUUAUUCAUCUAUUCCAUUUGUUGGUGUGUUAAUUCUGUGUGUCGGUAUUCUUAGAUAUUUUGCAAGUCAUAGUGUGCUUGGUUUGUAAAGUAUUGUUGUUAUUGUAUAGGG